UUAAGGCACGCGGUGAAUGCCAAU
rnacentral:ncRNA from 4 species